UGUUGUUAGAAGGGAUAUUGUGUACUUAUUGGGGUCUGCUUUUUUCUCCUGUUGAUGAUAUAAUUGUUAAGCUCAUUUCCUUUCUCCCAUUUAGAGUUAUUGAUUUUAAGUUUGUUUUGUCCACCUUAAAGCUGUUUCCUUUUUCUCUGUCAUUUUCUUGUUACUUCACUGUAAUGUUCCAUGGCAUUUGUCCUCAGGAAAUGGGAAAUCACUAUUCUGCCACUGACCUUCUUCAGCCGAAGCAAAGCUUGCUGUCAUAUCAGAUAUCGGAUUUAUGUUCAGUGAUUCACUCCUUUAAUUUUCUAGUGGUGUUACCUACAUAGAAUGAUGGACACAACACAAGUAGCCAAAUGGACCACAUUUACACUAUUACAGUUUGCUGAAGAAUAUGAAUGGAUUAUCAGACUGCAGGCAGAUUCUAAGCCGGGUCUGAAUUAUUCUUCUUUGCGACAGGCUAAUCAAGAACAAUUUCCACCUCUGCUUGCUGCGUCAUCUUCCCCUCAGCUGAAUACGGAGCUUUCAAACAAGAAAGCAAAAAAGUGAACUGCUAGUAGCUACGAUGGCAUCAGGAUUAAACUGUGAACAGCAAAAUGGCAACAUAAAAGCAUCUUUUUCUGGCUCUCUGGCAUGUUUUCAGCUAAAUUUGCCAGAAAAGCUGGGGAUACAACAAAGGAAUCCUUUACGAGGACGCUUGCUACAACAUCAAGCAAUGAACUCCCCAAACAGGACAAAAAGAAGGAACAACAGCCCUAUACAUUGCAACAAGCAGCUCGUCAUUAAUGGACAAGGAUAAAGGUAUAGUGAACUUGUCUAGUUUUGUGUUAACACAAGCACCAAGAUCCUUAAUAGGGAAAGGUUUAAAGUUUACCCCAAGUGCAUCGGAUGACAUUGUUGCAGCAUUGACUGAUUUGAAAAUGUUUGUUAGGACUCUAAACCUUAAACAUUUGUUUAAAAAAGAAGAUGUAAUGGAUGCAUUGCACUGUAAAAUAUCAAGUGUGUUUAUACCAAUAAGUAACCCCAUGAUAACUGCAUCUCAUAAUGUAUGUGAGAAUGAACUGAGACAAUUGUAUGCUAGUAAUACUACAAAUAAAUAUUAUAAUUUAACUGUUGCUGAAGCUGAAGCUCUGAAACAAUUGGAGAGAAAUGAUGACAUAGUUAUUAAACAAGCAGAUAAGGGGGGAGCUACAAUUAAUAUAAACCGAACUGAUUAUAUGUCUUCACUGAAUUUUUUUAUUGUAAGAUGCUGGGACUUUUAAGAAAGUUAUGUUUAUGGAUGUUAAAAAAUGUAUUAUAGAAAUGAACAUGAUAAUAUAUGAGUUACAGUUGAGCAAUGAUAUAGAUAUAUAUUUAUUUAAUUAUUUUACAGUUGCUUGCCAUAGAAUACCACAAAUUUAUGGCAUACCUAAGGUCCAUAAAUCACUAGAGAACCCCCCCAUUGAGACCUAUAGUCUCAGGAGAGGGGUGGAUAACUGAACCAAUUUCCAUCUUUUUGCAAAAAUGAUUAAGCAAUUAUUUACAAGGUUGCCCUAGUGUUAUUCAUGAUGCAACUGAUUUUUUAAUAAAACUAAAGGAGUGCUUUAAUAAAAAGGAAAGAACAGACUAUAUGUUUGUUAUACUGGACAUAACUUCACUGUUCACUGUGAUACCCAAUACAUAUGGAAUUGAGGCUAUUCAUGACUUUCUUAACAUUGAAAUAAGUUUGCCUGCUAAAGAGAUAGAAAAUAUAUGUUUUUGGAGCUUUUCUCCCCGGGCCUCCACUGAAAAUGGGUACUUCUUGGCCCAGUGGACUUCCCCGUUAAUCAAACUGAAAUAAAUAAAAUAAAUGAAUAUGUGUGUUACUGGACAUAGUUUUAACGAAAAAUAUCUUUCUUUUUAAUAACAAACAUUUUUUGCAAUUGGCAGGUGUGGCCAUGGGGACUGCCAUGGCUAGCACCUAUGCCAAUUUGGCGCUGCACCAAUGGGAAAAGCAAUUUAUUUAUAAUGAGAAUAAUGCAUUAAACAAAAAAGUUGAAUUUUAUCAAAUAUUGAUGAUUGUUUUCUUAUAUGCAGUGGAACAUAAGAAGAGUUAAAAGAAUAUAUUUCAUAUUUGGAUAAUUCAACUGACUUCUUGAAGUUUAAAAUGACAAGUUCUGAUGUGAAAAUAACAUUCUUAGAUGUAGAAUUAGAAAAAAAAGGAAGAUAGGAUUGAAACUAGUGUUCAUAAGAAGGAUGUGCAUGCUAGUCGUUAUGUUCAUAAACAGUGUAUGCACACACCUCACAUUUUUAAUAGUAUAAUGAAAGCACAGUUUAUUAGCAUUAGUAGAUUAAACAUAGAAGACAGUAAAUUUACAGAAAAAAAAGAAAGAAAUGUCUAGUGAAUUUGUCAGUAGUAGUCAUGAUCCGGUAGUUAUAGGGAAAAUAUGUAAAGAAGUUUGUAAAGAAAGGACAUGUAUAAGUAAACCUAUAUUCUUAAUGGAAAAAAGGUAUUGAAUGCCUGGUAAAAGAGAUUGUAAAUAAGAUUAGGUAUACCACUACUUUCAAUGUAAGAACUAGAGAAGUAAAGAAAAUAAUAUGUAAAAACUGGGCCAUUUUGUUAGCAAUGCCAUAAUUACAAAGGAUUCAAGAUGAUAAACCUAACUUUGCAUAUAGAAACUUUAACAUUUUAAAAAGGAGGUUAUGCUAUAAGGAUUUUAAAUCAUUAGAGAAAAACAGUUCUGUGAAUAAGCUUGGAACAGUCCAAUGUAUGAAUCGCAGUUGCUGCAGUGACAUCUUAGUACAUAAUAAUUUGUUUGUUCAUCCUAUAAUUCACAAACAAUAUGUGUUUUACUGUUCAAAUUGUAAUAGUGUAAAUGUGGUCUAUUUGGCUACCUGUGUUAAGUGUCCAUCAUUCUGUGUGGGUAAAACCACUGGAAAAUUAAAUUAAAUCAUUGAACAUAAAUCCAAUAUUCCCAGGAAAAUUGAACAAACGGAUUAAGUAAACACAUUAUGACUAGUGGUUAAGAACAUUAUUUUAGAUUUAGGGUUAUGAAUGUAGUCUUUAAAGAGGCCAGGGGAGUCAAUAUAAAUAAUAUACUGGAGAAUAAAGAAUAUGAAUGGAUUAUCAGAUUGCAGCAGAUUCUAAGCCUGGUCUGAAUAAUUCUGUGAGUAUUAAACCUGUAUUAGUUAGAAGACGGCAGCAAAAUCUUUAAAUGUGUAUUUAUAUGUAUGUAGAUAUUUUUAAUUGUGUAACAGUAUCCAUUUUAAGCAUUUGUAUUUCUUAACUGGUAGGGAAUGUGUGUGAUAGGCUGACUGUGAUCAUAUUAUUUUAAAUUUGCUCUUACUUAAAGUGAAUACUGUUAAUAUAGAG